GCCUGGCUAGCUCAGUCGGUAGAGCAUGAGACUCUUAAUCUGAGGAACAUGGGUUUGUGCCCUACGGUGGGCA
rnacentral:tRNA from 1 species